CCUACGGGAGGCAGCAGUGAGGAAUAUUGGUCAAUGGACGAGAGCCUGAACCAGCCAAGUAGCGUGAAGGAUGACUGCCCUACGGGUUGUAAACUUCUUUUAUAAGGGAAUAAAGUGAAGCACGUAUACCUUUUUGUAUGUACUUUAUGAAUAAGGAUCGGCUAACUCCGUGCCAGCAGCCGCGGUAAUACGGAGGAUCCGAGCGUUAUCCGGAUUUAUUGGGUUUAAAGGGAGCGUAGAUGGGUGGUUAAGUCAGUUGUGAAAGUUUGCGGCUCAACCGUAAAAUUGAAAUUGAUACUGGCAGUCUUGAGUAAACAUGAGGUAGGGGAAAUCCGUGGGGUAGCGGUGAAAGGUU
rnacentral:rRNA from 1 species